rnacentral:lncRNA from 1 species
GUAUUUUUUUUAUCAGCUUCACAAGGACUUCCCUGAGUCGCCGUGCAGCGCGUUCCCAUCAGCAACCUCGUGGUCGGCGUCGACUUGGUCCCUAUCGCUCCCUUCCUCUAACGCCAUGAGAAACAUGCACCAUAACUAUGCCAAUGCUGCAUAGUUGUUCACAAGCUUGGCAAGAUGGAUGAGUGGGUUAUUAGAUUGUAUGCGUACUAUGGUGCAGUGUGCAACAUGAGCAUGACAGCAUGGCGCUAGAAUGAGGGUGUCGACCACCAACAUGGAAGAAGAUAAGAACUUUAUCUUUUCUCAAAUGAUUUGUUUAAUAUUAUCACUGUUUAUUUAAUAUUUUAUCAUUUAUCUUUAAUCAUUCCUCACCACUACAUUCAUUAUUUCAGUUACAUUCAUUAUUUAAGUGUUAGAGUGAAACUUCAAUCAUUCAUGACAGGUAUAAAUACAAAAUAUAAUAUAGUCCCACUAUCCCACUAUUUGGAAAAAGUCUUCCUUUACAGCUCGUUGUUUAAUAUUAUGUUGACCAAAAACAUAUCACAUCACUUACCAUUUUAUUAUUUUAAUCCAUUAGACACAGGGUUGGGUGAUCACAUUCACCAAAAAACCCUCUUUAAUCAGUACACCCACUACACCAUUUACAUUAUUUAAUUGUUUUAUCACAUUACAAUUACUAUGCCGAUGCUGCUAACAUCAUGAUUAUUCCACAAUAUGGUCCAUACUUGUUAUUAUAAUGCAACUUUAUCAUGAUUAUUCCCCAAGUAGAAAGUUUGACCACAUCACAUAUUUUCACUUUUCACUAUUAGGGCACGGUCCCUAUAGUCAUCAUGUGUAAGACUAUUAUACUCAGAUUGUUUUCCAUUAUUUUCACUAGUGACAUGUAUUUAGCCCAAGUACUUGUGCAAUAUUUAUUCAUUGCCUAGUGAUAUGUGAUUGCCUUUAACUAUGUCACUUAUACAACAUGUGAUUUACCACACAACUGAAUAAAUUAUUUACUUGUAGUAGGCACAUAGUACAAUAUUUUGCCUUGACAAACUUUGUCAAUUUGAUUUAUUUAUUAUGCAUUCAUACUUAUACAAUCAUUUAUUGUCAGGAAUUAUUGAGCAACUAGCUCUAUUGAUCAACAUUGUUACUGAUUAAAGAAGCCUACUAACACUAUUGAUCAGCCUAUGGAUCACUGAGCCACAUGCUUAUGGUGACAAAGAUUUAGUCUGAACGGUAAUCUCUUGUCUGACCGGACACCCACUUGCUUGGACACUCGCUCAUUUGGACACCUAUGUGCUUGGACACCCUUGAGCUCGAACCCCGACUCACGAACCCAACUUGUGGAAUGGCCCCAACUCAAAGACCCCACAAGCGGACCCAAGUCAUGUCAAGAGUUAACUCAUAAUGAGCGCACGCUGACGUCGAGUGCAUACUCACAAUGAAGAACGCCACAAGUCGAGCUGUCUCGCAACGAGCACCGCCU